AUUGAACGCUGGCGGCAUGCUUUACACAUGCAAGUCGAACGGUAACAGGCCGCAAGGUGCUGACGAGUGGCGAACGGGUGAGUAAUGCAUCGGAACGUGCCCAGUCGUGGGGGAUAACUACUCGCAAGAGUAGCUAAUACCGCAUACGAUCUAUGGUUGAAAGCGGGGGACCGUAAGGCCUCGCGCGAUUGGAGCUGCCGAUUUCAGAUUAGGUAGUUGGUGGGGUAAAGGCUCACCAAGCCAACGAUCUGUAGCUGGUCUGAGAGGACGACCAGCCACACUGGAACUGAGACACGGCCCAGACUCCUACGGGAGGCAGCAGUGGGGAAUUUUGGACAAUGGGCGCAAGCCUGAUCCAGCAAUGCCGCGUGCAGGAAGAAGGCCUUCGGGUUGUAAACUGCUUUUGUACGGAAAGAAACGGCUCUGGUUAAUACCCGGGGCUAAUGACGGUACCGUAAGAAUAAGCACCGGCUAACUACGUG
rnacentral:rRNA from 1 species